UCACAGUUCUGAGGACCGGGGUUCAAUCCCCGGCCCCGCCCGUGUGGAGUUUGCAUGUUCUUCCCGUGCCUGCGUGGGUUUUCUCCGGGCACUCCGGUUUCCUCCCACAUCCCAAAAACAUGCAUGGGAGGUUAAUUGACAACUCUAAAUUGCCCGUAGGUGUGAAUGCGAGUACGAAUGGUUGUUUGUUUGGAAGUGCCCUGCAAUUGGCUGGCAACCAGUUCAGGGUGUACCCCGUCUCCUGCCCGAUGAUAGCUGGGAUGGGCUCCAGCACGCCCGCGACCCGAGUGAGGAGAAGCGGCUCAGAAAAUGGAUGGAUGGAUAUAAACCAGCGUAGGCCAGUCCGAGCGGGCUCUGUAACACCCUUGGCAUAGGCAGUCCUGUAAAAGCUGAAUACGUGUGCUUUUUAACGCUCUUUGUAGCAGCAGAUGUUGCAUUAGAUGUUUUGGCGUUCUCAUUCUUUGUGUAAAACGCAAGAGGACAAGAGAUGCAGCUUCUGAAAGAGGGCUUGAAAAAAAUCUGGCAAAGAUUAGGUAGAGAAAUGGAAAAUUACUGCAAAGCUUUAGGGAGUGAGAGCCCUUCAACAGCAACCUAAACCCUUUCCUAAUCUUACUAAAAAUGUUAAGAAGCAGCUCGUCGAGGGAUUGGCCGAUUUGAUCAGUCGAAUAUUCCUUUUGAAUUGGAUUUUGUUUUUAAUCAUGUUUUGGAUUUUCAUACUUUGGACUGUUUACAUAUGUCAUCAAAUGAGACUUUGAAUGGAAUCAACUUUUUCCUUGGACUGAUGUUUUUGGUUCAUUUGGGUUUUUCAUCUCAAAGGAUCGGCUUGAAAUGAUUUAUCUCAUAGAUCAGUGAAGAUCUUCAUCCAAAGUCAAUUGCACAUUGCAUUGUAAUGGAUUCCCAUUUUAAAUUAAACUACAUUAACACAAUCAGAAUCAUGUAAAUACUACAUCAACCAACAUUGUUUUUUUAUCAUUUAUUGCUGAAAGACAACGAGAGAGCCUUGUUUCACACAGUUCAGUGAUCAUGUGCACCUCACAUGUGAAAGGUCCCUGAUUUAAAACUGGCUGUGAACAAGGCCUUUUAUUAUUAUUAUUAAUAUUAUUAUAAAUCUCUCAUGAAAAGCAGCUUCACCAAAUAACCUUCUCGCCCUGGUGGAAUGAAUGUAGAAGAACGUCAAAAAAACACAACAAUGGGCAUUUAUGAAGAAGAAAGAAGAACAUCAAGAGAACAUGCCUCAAGUGAAGACUGCAUGGUGGAGUUGUCCUUGAAGUCAUCAAGGUUUUGCAAAACUUACAUACUGUAGUGUAGCACUAGCCGUUGCUAUGCUUUUUGGACUCAUUUUUGUGCUCAAUCUCAGACACCCUAGUGACCUCCGUGACACCUUUGAGGUCGUGCAAAAGAUUAUGGACAUGGCUGGGUGUAAACUCUUCAACAGAGCACUUGGAAUGAAGAACAGUCUGCUCCUGUUCUCGGAGUCGUAAAUGUGCUGCCAACCGAAAAAUAUGUUAAAUGUUUCUUUAAUUUUUUACAAGAAGUUGCCGUUUGUGAGUUAAUUCUGGUGAGAGCGUCAGCCUCACAGUUCUGAGGACCGGGGUUCAAAUCCCGGCCCCGCCUGUGUGGAGUUUGCAUGUUCUCCCCGUGCCUGCGUGGGUUUUCUCCGGGAACUCCGGUUUCCUCCCACAUCCCAAAAACAUGCAUUAAUUGGAGACUCUAAAUUGCCCGUAGGCAUGACUGUGAGUGCGAAUGGUUGUUUGUUUCUAUGUGCCCUGCGAUUGGUUGGCAACCAGUUCAGGGUGUACCCCGCCUCCUGCCCGAUGACAGCUGGGAUAGGCUCCAGCACGCCCGCAACCCUAGUGAGGAGAAGCGGCUCAGAAAAUGGAUGGAUGGAUGGAUGUUUAUUUUAUAAAAUAACAAAAAUAUGAUAAAGUGGAGAGUGACAUGAGUGUCGCAUUUCAUCACCAAACAAGAUGUGAGCAUAAAAGCGGUUGAAAUGGUAAUCUGUAUUAAAUGUGGAUUAAUAUUUUUAUCAAUACAGUAAAAUGUUGAGAUGAUUCACUUGAUCGACAGUUUAAUGCCUUAUCAUGCCUUUCACCUUGUUUCACUGUCGCCCUGGCUCAGCACCCUGCGAGUCUUCAGCCUUGCUGCCAACCAACAGUUUUAGACAGACAACUUUCAACUUUCAGGUUCUACCACCCUGCGCUAUGAUCGUAUAGUGGUUAGUACUCUGCGUUGUGACCUCAGCACCCCCCCGGUUCAAGUCCGGGUUCACAGCGUAGAUAAAGCCCUGCAAUUGUUUUUUUUCGUGCUGCUGUUUGAAAAGUUGGGACAGUGAAAAUCCUCCACAGGGAAGCCGCUUGCAGAGGGUACAGCACCCUUGUGGGGCUAGUGGCGCAAUGGAUAACGUAUCUGACUAUGGAUCAGAAGAUUCUAGGUUCAACUCCUGGCUAGCUCGUGCACUGUUUUGCAUGUGGUAUUAAACCCAUUUUUUUUUAAAUUUCUUUUUUGCACUCAAUUUGAAUUUUACUUUUAACAUCAAAAUAUCCAAUCCAAACAUUCCAGCCUCAAAUAUUCAGCUGCUCCAUUUCAGAAGCAAAUUCAACUCGCUGGCAGAAAAGGCUGUUAAAAUGGAAAAAAAUAUAAUAAUAAUAAAUGCUAUUUAAUUCUGCACGCACGUGCAAACAUAAAGGAACGUAAACAACAAUUUUCUACCCACAAAUGAGGUAUCAAAAGUUGCGUCUCGGCCACUCUUUAAUCAGACCUUCUUUAUUUUAAAUUCUACGUGACCAUCAUGAUGCAAUUCCCCAAAAUCUACGGAUAAACUUCCAUUGAGAAUGAAUGGGCCUCCAACAAUUCCCACAUUUAACACUUUCACAUCAUUCAUUUCCCGUUCCAACUUCAAUUACCAUACUAACUGUUAGCAUUUGAGCUAAUCUCCUGACUUAUUAUUAUAUACUAUUUUUAUUAUAUAGUAUCAUGAUUCAUGGUUUCUGAUUCAAUUCAAGGAUGAUAUUGGAUUGUUUGGAAAACAGGGAAGGUGUAGGAAGUUGAACCAUGGGCAGGUGGAAGAACUUGGUGGCAUGGCUGGAGACACGGAAGGAGCAUUGGAGACGGAGAAGAACACAAGGGGGGUAAGUACGAUUGCAGGUAGUCGAGGAACUUACGAGGAGGAGUCAUGAAAGUUGGC